GAUGAACGCUGGCGGCGUGCUUAACACAUGCAAGUCGAACGGAAAGGCCCAAGCUUGCUUGGGUACUCGAGUGGCGAACGGGUGAGUAACACGUGGGUGAUCUGCCCUGCACUUCGGGAUAAGCCUGGGAAACUGGGUCUAAUACCGGAUAGGACCACGUCUUGGAUGUUGUGGUGGAAAGUUUUUUCGGUGUGGGAUGAGCUCGCGGCCUAUCAGCUUGUUGGUGGGGUAAUGGCCUACCAAGGCGUCGACGGGUAGCCGGCCUGAGAGGGUGUACGGCCACAUUGGGACUGAGAUACGGACCAGACUCCUACGGGAGGCAGCAGUGGGGAAUAUUGCACAAUGGGCGCAAGCCUGAUGCAGCGACGCCGCGUGGGGGAUGACGGCCUUCGGGUUGUAAACUCCUUUCGCUAGGGACGAAGCGUUUUUGUGACGGUACCUGGAGAAGAAGCACCGGCUAACUACGUG
rnacentral:rRNA from 1 species